UUCAUCCCUCCCCCGCAAUCGAUAGUGUUAACUUAGCUCUCAGUGGGGUUACACGUUACGUUCUCGCCGCUCCUCAACCAAGCCGCCAAGAUGUGUGGGGGGUUCACGUGCUCCAAGAACAGCCUUUUGGCCCUCAACAUCCUCUAUAUCGUGGUGGCGUUCAUCAUGAUAGGGGUGGCGGCGGCGGCGAACAUGGACUCCAUCUUCACCUCGCUGUCCCUGGUGUCCACGAUCAUAGCGUGCGGCGUGUUCCUCCUCUUCAUAUCCAUAGUGGGGCUCAUCGGGGCCAGUAAACACCAUCAGGUGAUGCUGUUCUUCUACAUGAUCGUGCUCUUCAUCAUCUUCAUCAUCCAGUUCUCCGUAGCCUGCGCCUGCCUUGCCAUCAAUGAGGACCAGCAGAGUGUGGUGGCUGCCAAGGGCUGGAAGAAAGCUGGAGAUUCAAUACGGAUAGACGCGCAGAAUCUGUUCAGCUGCUGCGGCUACAGCAACGAGAACUUCAACCUGACACAAGAGGCCGACCACCCCUCGUGCAUGGAUAUUCCCUUAUGCUGCCCCAACGUGGUUAACGAGACUCUGUGCUGCCACGAGGGUGGAGAGCCAUGUCAGUGCAUCUCCUGUGACGUGCCAAUCAAGGAGGCGAUGCUCAGAGGGGUUACUGUCGUCGGCGGCAUUGGACUGUUCUUCUCCUUCACUGAGUUCCUUGGCGUUUGGCUCACGGUGCGCUACAGGAACCAGCGGGACCCCCGGGCUAACCCUUCUGCCUUCCUGUAGUGAGGUGGCAUGGUGGCCCUCAAACCCUCACUGCUACUCUUAACUAACAUAUCAGGUCAUCGGCUUCUUCAUCGCUAAGCGUUUCCGGCACCAGGUGGACCCACGAGCAAACAUUCAGAGUUUGCUUAGAUAAUGGGCAGCAGCAGAAGAAGCAACAACAGCAAGCCUAUUCCUGCCCACCAACUCCCAUCUCUGCCUACCUUCCCUCUUUGCUUCCUGCUUUCCAUAAACCCCAUUCCAGCCCUGCUCCCUCCUUCCCUCCCUCCUCACCUUGUUACCGCCAAGCCAGAUAGCUAAUGUUUCAGGUCACUGGGAAGGUCUUUGCUGCCAACCCCUUGUCUAGUGCCACUAACUCCCAUGCCAACUCAUUCUAUUGCUCUUUCUCUCUCUUGGCAUCAGAAGUUUUUUAUAUCAUUUUGUAUUAGCUAUGAGUAUUAUAUUUUUUGGUCAAUUCCUCCAGCGUGCAAUAUUAUUUAGCGAGGUACAAUUAUUAUCGCCCUUCCAUAGAUUUUAGAUUUAAACGCCAUAUCAGAGUUAAGUCCUAUAUCUCCUGUACACUUUUUCACAUGUAUGUAUGUUUGAUUUCAAUAUCAGAUGGGGAACAACUUAAUAUUCAGAUACCUCAAGACAGUGCAACAAUAUCUACUGGACUCCUUCAAAGAUUUUACCGCCAUCGUAAAGUGAAAAUACUCCAUUGUGACACUAAAGCAUCUCGCAGCACCUGGGGUCAGCACAGCGCCCUAUGUGUCCACAGUGCUGAGGGUAGGCUGUGUGCUGAGAAGUGCUGCAUCUGGCUUGUACCUCAUCAUAUGUCACUGAAAAUAGUCUCAUGGCUCAGUGGAUUUGGUAAUGCUGAGUUCUCCAUUACUUUUGUUCUCCUUAUUACUUGGUUGUCUCCCUCACAUUUAGGUUCUGUAUAUUUAGUUGCCUCCGAUUACAUGCUUUGCUUUCCCUUUACGUUGAUAUUUCCCAGCCGUUGUGUUGGGUAGUGUGUUAUGUAUUGCUUUAUCUCUUUAUUUGUAUAGCACUUUAUUAUGAGUUGUUACCUGUGUUCUCUAGCACUCUGUACUAAUAUAAAAUUUCCCUCCCUUUUUGAUGUUCAGAUAUUGCAAUUUAGGAAACUUUCUAAAGAGGUAAAGGAAGAGUAUAACAAUAAUUUACCAGUGAAUUAUGUACAUAGCUUUGAAAGUGUAGCUACAGAGUGGUGUAAUUUAAACUGUUCAUUAGAGUUUAGUGGAAAAAAAUAACCCCUAUGCCACCAAGAGAUUUACUAAUGAGCUGUAUCAUUGCUGAUUUGAUUGUGUAAGUGUAAGGUGUCAUUUUAUUCCUUACUCAUCAUCAGCAUCCUUACUAAGAGGCAGAUCUAUCUAAGGAGAGGUAAUACAAUACAGAAUUACUGAUUAGUUUGAUCUUCUUUGAUUUGACAUAACUUGUGUAGCUUUAGCCACAAGCAACUAGGAGAUUUGCUGAAGAUAUGCUUCUGCUCAGUUCUCUGUACUGUGUUACUUAGGUAAUGACUAGUCUGAGUAGGAAAAAGAAACAUAGUGUUAGACUACCUUUAUGGAUCAAAGUAAAUGUGCCUAAAUGAAAUGGGAACUUGGUUAUGUCUCAGUAUACAUGUGACAAAUAUAUAUUGUUUAUAUCAAGUAGGUGAUUAAAAUUUAGCUUGUCAUUAAGUGACCUUGACAGUAUUGAGGAAGAGUUUAUUUUCUCUUUAGUGUGAAGUUGAACGCUUUUCCUUUGGCAAGAGCCAAGAAACAAAGCUACAUGGAAGUGGCCACAGAGAUGGCUGGAAUGAGGAGUCCUAGAAGUCAGCGCUGGCAGCCAAGGCAGCGGCCCUGGCCUCAGAAGCCAGGGCUGACAGCUAAGAAAGACAUUUAGCAAUUCCUUCCUCAUUGGAAGAAGAAAAUAUUGUGAGAGCAUCGGACUUGCUUUUGUGUGGUGGUUUUAGAUAUUUGGAAUUUAAUUGCCUGGUUUACCUUUGUAUGCAUUAUCUCAGGCAAUAUGUUGUUCUGUGCUGUUGGACAGACCGAAGUAGUUUUAGUAAUUGGUGUUUGAUGAAAUUGUCAAUCUUGCAUUCCAUGAGACACAUCUCAGUAGUGAUUUGGCUGAGCUGUGGUGAGCCAUUGGUGUGCUACAAGGGAGGUGAGAUGAGUUGUCUUGGCACCUGUUCACAUUGUAAAACAGACUGUUAAUAAUGGUUCAGCAGGUCUGCUUAGGUGAUCUAUCAAGUCCAGAAUUGAGUGCAGAAUAGAUCAGCUAAGAAGUUUGCCCUUCAGAGGCUGUCACAUGUGGGAUGGUGGGGAAGCUCCUCACUCCUCAAGGACAGAUUACACUACUGUGUCUUGCAUCAGGGGUUCAGUUUUGCUGUUAUGAGAUUUUUUGGCCUUUCACUCACCACAUGUUCUGCCUCGCUGUUCUGUUCGGGCUGAUGUCUCGGCAGCAGCACUGUUACUCUUGCUGAGCCAUUCCUGUUUCCUCAUGCUUUUUAUGUCUUUGCUUGAUCUAAUAGUCAUGGCUAAGAGUUAGAAAGUACUCAGCAUACUCAAUACAGUCCCUAAAUAUCUUACUUCUCUGAUGAAAUAGUGGACUUCUCAAGAUACUCUUUUUUUUCCCAUAGAAGCAAGAUUGUUUAUUGAAAGUAGGUACACCACACUUUAAUUUCAUACACAUAUGUAAAAUCGUAUUAGGAAUUUUUUAACUAUUCUCAAUGGAGGAGCAAUGGACUUGUACCUUGGGCCGCAAGAGUAACAACAUUCUGCCGUUGAUUUAUAACUGUGCCGGUGACGGACUUGAGUGUUGGUUGGUCAGCAAGAGUAGGUGGUGUUUGCUCUCAGUGAUUCCUUUAGUUCCUGUUUGUGAUACAUAAGACAUUCCAGCCAUUUUGUUAUGCCAGUAGUCUUUUCUUGUGUACAGUUAUGUUUUGUAAUCCUUAAGAUGGUAACAACAACAAUAAUGAUGAUAAUAAUGAUAAUAGCCAGCAGUAGAUUAGCUCUGAAAGUGUACUGUGUUUUGGGGUGAUAUGUUGUUUAUAUAAAAGAGUAUUUAAAAAAAGAUCAUAAAUAAUGCUUCCUGUAGUUUGAUAUGAGUGUAGGAUAUACAUGUUGACUGUUGUUUAUUCAUUUGUUUGUUGGUUGGCCUACAUUUGCAGUGGUGCUUACAUCGGCAUUUUAUUUAUUCAUCUUUGGUUUCAGUUUUCUCUGCAUCACUUAAGUGGGUUUGGAUUUGGUUGUGUGUGUGUGUGUGUGUGUGUUUUCCUGUUGAGUUGGAAUGGCUUGUCCAGUGUUAUGAGUUUUGAUUCCUUCAUCACCCGGGGAACUAAUGGUGGCACUUUUUCCACACUGUUUAUGAUCACUGGGGCUCGGCGGCUCGUCCAGAACUGCUUGUUGUGCGCUUGUCUUCUUUCACAUGACGCUGCGAGGCUUAGGAUGACUGCAUGACACUUUGAUAGGGUGGGGUGAGGGUUGUGUCUGUUAGAGGUGUAAGGAAUUCCUCAAGUUGUCUUUUUUUCUACCAUUUUUCCCAGUUUGAGGAUUUGUUGGACUGAUUUGAGGCAUUUAGAGAAGAAGGGGCAUAAGGAACAGGGCCAAGUUUUCUAGUUUGAUGUUCUAUAGGACUGAUUUUGGGCAUCCACAGAAGAAGGGGCGUAAGGAACAGGGCCAAGUUUUCUAGUUUGAUGUUCUAUAGGACUGAUUUUGGGCAUCCACAGAAGAAGGGGCAUAAAGAACAGGGCCAAGUUUUCUAGUUUGAUGUUCUAUAGGACUGAUUUUGGGCAUCCACAGAAGAAGGGGCGUAAGGAACAGUAGUUUUUUCAAAUUUCAAAAUCUAUACGGCUGAUUUGAAGUGUCCACAGAAGAAGGCAUGUAAGAAACAGAGCCAUUUCUUCUAGUUUGAGGAUCUUUAGGGUUGAUUUGAAGUGUCUGAAGAAGAAGGCAUGUAAGGGACAGGGCCAAGUUUUGUAGUUUGCCCUAGGAAAGCCAGACUACAUAUCCCAAAAAGAACAAAAUCAAGUUGCAAGUGAUAAGCAACCUUCAGUACAUCAAAUACAAGGUCACUUUUCCCUUGCAACCCAUUCCUUGUUCUUCCUGUGGUGUGUAGCCUGACUUUCCCAGUAUUACCUGGAAAAAAAUAGCUCUCUCUUAUGCCCCUUUCUCCAGAUGCCUCGUUUGUUGUCCUCUUUUUCUGCCUUCCCUUUACCCUUCACAUAAUUUAAACAUAAGCGAUUUCUUCUACUGUUUUAACCUCUCCUUCCUCAUUCUCUUUAGCCUCUUUCCCCUUCGUCCCCUUCCAUUCACCCUUCACACAAUUCAAACAUAAGCAAGUCCUUCUACUGUUUCAACCUC